rnacentral:lncRNA from 10 species
UCUGAACUCGACAAUAAUAGACAUUCAAAAGAGGAAGAUCCAUUUAAUGUAGACUCAAGUUCGCUGACAGGUCCAGUUGCAGAUACAAACUUGGAUUUUUUCCAGUCUGAUCCUUUUGUUGGCAGUGAUCCUUUCAAGGAUGAUCCUUUUGGAAAAAUCGAUCCAUUUGGUGGUGAUCCUUUCAAAGGUUCAGAUCCAUUUGCAUCAGACUGUUUCUUCAGGCAAUCUACUGAUCCUUUUGCCACUUCAAGCACUGACCCUUUCAGUGCAGCCAACAAUAGCAGUAUUACAUCGUAAUCCUAUGAGGUUUACGUAGGUUAAGUUGAGGCCAGGUGUGGUGGCUCCCACCUCUAAUUCCAGCACUUCAGGAGGCCAAGGCAGGAGGAUCACUUGAGGUAGAAACGUUGAAGCACAAUGAUCCUUUUGCUCCUGGUGGAACAGUUGUUGCAGCAAGCGAUUCAGGUAAAUAAAUAAUUUAUCAACUUCAUUGAACAUUAAACAUUUUUUUUAAGAUUCUUUUUUCUUUGUCUCUAAAUAUAUUUGUCCUGUUAUUUAUAGCUUUAAAAUUAUUGCAUAAUUAUAUCCAAUAGUAAUUUACCAAUAAUAAGCAUUUGUAUAUCACUUUCUACUU